GCUUACUUUAAGGGUACCAUCAAUCCACCCGAGGUGGAUAUUUUCCCCUUCUACAGCGGUUUACGACCCAAAGGGCCUUCAUCCCGCACGCGGCGUUGCUGCGUCAGACUUUCGCCAUUGCGCAAUAUUCCUC
rnacentral:rRNA from 1 species